rnacentral:rRNA from 1 species
GACGUAGGGCGCGAGCGUUGUCCGGAUUUAUUGGGCGUAAAGCGCACGUAGGCGGAUUGUUAAGUCAGGGGUGAAAUCCUGGAGCUCAACUCCAGAACUGCCUUUGAUACUGGCGAUCUUGAGUCCGGGAGAGGUGAGUGGAACUGCGAGUGUAGAGGUGAAAUUCGUAGAUAUUCGCAAGAACACCAGUGGCGAAGGCGGCUCACUGGCCCGAUACUGACGCUGAGGUGCGAAAGCGUGGGGAGCAAACAGG